UACGUAGGGUGCGAGCGUUAAUCGGAAUUACUGGGCGUAAAGCGUGCGCAGGCGGUUUUGUAAGCCAGGUGUGAAAUCCCCGGGCUUAACCUGGGAAUGGCAUUUGGGACUGCAAGGCUGGAGUGCGGCAGAGGAGACUGGAAUUCCUGGUGUAGCAGUGAAAUGCGUAGAUAUCAGGAGGAAUACCGAUGGCGAAGGCAGGUCUCUGGGCUGACACUGACGCUCAUGCACGAAAGCGUGGGGAGCAAACAGG
rnacentral:rRNA from 1 species